AUUGAACGCUGGCGGCAUGCUUUACACAUGCAAGUCGAACGGUAACAGGGUGCUUGCACCGCUGACGAGUGGCGAACGGGUGAGUAAUGCGUCGGAACGUGCCGAGUAGUGGGGGAUAACGCAGCGAAAGUUGUGCUAAUACCGCAUACGUACUGAGGUAGAAAGUGGGGGACCUUCGGGCCUCACGCUAUUCGAGCGGCUGACGUCUGAUUAGCUAGUAGGUGAGGUAAAGGCUCACCUAGGCGACGAUCAGUAGCGGGUCUGAGAGGAUGAUCCGCCACACUGGGACUGAGACACGGCCCAGACUCCUACGGGAGGCAGCAGUGGGGAAUUUUGGACAAUGGGCGAAAGCCUGAUCCAGCCAUGCCGCGUGUCUGAAGAAGGCCUUCGGGUUGUAAAGGACUUUUGUCAGGGAGGAAAUCCCUAGCGUUAAUACCGCUGGGGGAUGACAGUACCUGAAGAAUAAGCACCGGCUAACUACGUGCCAGCAGCCGCCGCCGUAA
rnacentral:rRNA from 1 species